CGCUUUGAAUUAGGCGAUCCUAAAAUAAACAAACAGGCAGGAAGAAGAAUAUAAAAUCAACCAGAAAUAAGCAUUUAAUUACUUAUUCGAAAACCACUCGUUCUGUAAAGUCUUAAGUGGUUGUUUGGCAGAGAGGGACGUCUAAUGGAGGUAAUCAUCUAAUCUAAUCACUAAAGAUGCGGCAA